rnacentral:tRNA from 1 species
GAGGGUAUAGCUCAAGUGGUAGAGCACAUGUUUAGCAUGCAAGAGGUCCUGGGUUCAAUCCCCAGUAUCUCCU